rnacentral:rRNA from 1 species
GACGAACGCUGGCGGCGUGCCUAACACAUGCAAGUCGAACGGGACCAGGGGCAACUCUGGUUCAGUGGCGGACGGGUGCGUAACACGUGAGGAACAUGACCUUCGGCGGGGGAGUAGCCGGCCCAACCGGCCGGGUAAGUACCGCGUACGACCACAUGGGGACGAUCCCUGAGUGGUGAAAGCAGCAAUGCGCCGAUGGAGUGCCUCGCGGCCUAUCAGCCAGUUGGUGAGGUAACGGCCCACCAAGGCGACGACGGGUAGCUGGUCUGAGAGGACGGCCAGCCACACUGGGACUGAGACACGGCCCAGGCUCCUACGGGAGGCAGCAGUGGGGGAUCUUGCGCUAAUGCGCGAAAGCGUGACGCGGCGACGCCGCGUGGGGA